rnacentral:rRNA from 1 species
UAACACGUAUCCAACCUGCCGUCUACUCUUGGACAGCCUUCUGAAAGGAAGAUUAAUACAAGAUGGCAUCAUGAGUCCGCAUGUUCACAUGAUUAAAGGUAUUCCGGUAGACGAUGGGGAUGCGUUCCAUUAGAUAGUAGGCGGGGUAACGGCCCACCUAGUCUUCGAUGGAUAGGGGUUCUGAGAGGAAGGUCCCCCACAUUGGAACUGAGACACGGUCCAAACUCCUACGGGAGGCAGCAGUGAGGAAUAUUGGUCAAUGGGCGCAGGCCUGAACCAGCCAAGUAGCGUGAAGGAUGACUGCCCUAUGGGUUGUAAACUUCUUUUAUAAAGGAAUAAAGUCGGGUAUGUAUACCCGUUUGCAUGUACUUUAUGAAUAAGGAUCGGCUAACUCCGUGCCAGCAGCCGCGGUAAUACGGAGGAUCCGAGCGUUAUCCGGAUUUAUUGGGUUUAAAGGGAGCGUAGAUGGAUGUUUAAGUCAGUUGUGAAAGUUUGCGGCUCAACCGUAAAAUUGCAGUUGAUACUGGAUAUCUUGAGUGCAGUUGAGGCAGGCGGAAUUCGUGGUGUAGCGGUGAAAUGCUUAGAUAUCACGAAGAACUCCGAUUGCGAAGGCAGCCUGCUAAGCUGCAACUGACAUUGAGGCUCGAAAGUGUAGGUAUCAAACAGGAUUAGAUACCCUGGUAGUCCACACGGUAAACGAUGAAUACUCGCUGU